rnacentral:ncRNA from 1 species
CUUAUCCAGAGUGACGUAAGGGAACAGGCCCAUUGACGUCCGACAACCUGCUUUUUGCAAGGUGCCAAUUCCUGCGGUGACCGCCGAAAGAUAAG